rnacentral:lncRNA from 1 species
AUGCCGCUCAGCUGGCUGCAAGUGGACCCAGUGGAGCUUCCCAGGGACCUGGCGGCUGGCUACCAGCCCCAGACGAUGUCACCUAAUCGUGCCGGGUGUAGCCUGGGCCUCGGGCGGUUUCACAGCUCACCAGGUGACCCCAACGUGCAGCCAAGGUUGAGGACCACGGCCCCGCAGGCCCUGUGGAGUCUCGUCAUCCAGGCCACCACGAUCUCUCCGAGGCAUACAGGUGCCUGGUCUGCGCGUCCACGAGGCACAGAGGGCAGGCUGCCCACACCUGGCUGGUGGUGGGGUUCGCUGUCUGCACCACUUUCUGUGGGGUGUUCAGAGGGCUCACAGGGCACCUCCUUUCACGUUCCAGGGCGUAGGGGCACAUCAGCCUCCCUGAGGCGGGAUCCUACCAAAAACCACAGAGCGUCCGAGCCGGGGGGUUCCUGGGGCUGUCACCUGGGCCUGUCUGCAGGCCCCUCCUGCUUCAGUCGGAAGAGCUCGGCCUUCAUGUUAAGACGCGGGGCCCCUGGUGAGAUUUCCAUUGACAGGAGAACACUGCUGCUUAAACAAGGCUGGAAAAUGUCCAGCUCCUCCUUGUUACAGGUAAGGAAGCUGAGGCUCAGAGAGGGAAGGUGCCUUCCUCAAGAUCACACAAGAAGAGGUGGGGCUGUGUCUAGAAUCCGGGCCCUCCGACUUCCAAGCAAGAUUUCCUCCAGUUCCUGGGGACCAGAGAAGCCUGCCACCACCCUGGCCUUGUAUCUCCUGAGACUUGGGGGUCUUCGAAGUGCCAGGCUGGGCGUGUGUGGGAAAAGUGCAGUGCCUGGCCCGGCCAGAGGACGACUGGGCCGGGCACAGGCCCGCGGGAGCCCUGCCUUCCUCCAGGCCAGCCUUGGGCAGCUUAGUUCUGGCCUUGGCCAGAAGAGGGCGCUCCAGCCCGGGCCUCAGCGGACGGCUGGGAGGAGACGGCCAAGGGGCUGCAGUCCCUGGCACAGGGAUGCUGUCGGUGAGUGA